rnacentral:misc_RNA from 1 species
AAAAACUGCUGCUCGAUAGUAUAAAUUGAUAUCAAGAAGUGGGAGAGGUGUAUGAUGUAUAUAAAAAUAUAUAAUUUUGCCACGAGUCUUUGGCACCACUUUUACCUACAAAAAUUUAAUUAAGAAUUUUAUUUUAGCCAUUAAACGCUCAGUAAUAAGAUAAUCUUUAACUUUUUCAGUUCCCCUUGUAAGCCCCAUGCAAAACUUAUAUUUUGGUAGGCAUGGGAUGCUAGCUUUUCUAGGAAUUUCUCAAUAAUAUUGAAUGCUAAUAACUAUAUAGUCAUUUUGUGGAGGUCG